AGGCCGCUUCCUUUGUGGAUUGCGAAGCUGAGGUCCAGUGGAGGGCAGGGGCAGGUCCUGGAAGCUCCCGAGGCAAAGAGAGCUGAUCUCGGGGCUGGGGUCACAGGGCUCCACUCCUGUGAUCUCUAGGGUCCCAGAGCCGGGAGGAGAGACUGGGUGCCUUUCGUUCACCUCUGGGGGUGGGCAGAGGCUCAGCCUGUGCCACAAGGCAAAGCUGCUUCUGUGCAGUCCGAGCCGCGGCCCCUUUAAGAGGGGGUGGUGCUUCAGCCAAUCGCUAGGGACGCUGCCGGCGUGCGAGCCUCUACGGAAGCUGAGAGGGCGCCUCCGGCAGGGCCCCCGGCAGAAGCCAUGGCGUCGUUGAAGCAAGCGGAAGCCGUGGCGGUGUGGUCGGAGAGAGCAAAAGCGGCGGCCAGAGGUGGCGGCGCGGUCCCGUGGAGCAGAAGAGGAGUCGUGUCCCAGGGAACAGAAGCUGCAGCGUCCAGAAGUGGUGGCGCGGUCCCAGCGAGCUUCCGAGCAGCCGUGGUGGCUUCCACGUGAUGGGGGAGCAGGAGGCAGGUCUCCGUGGUUCAUCUCGGUUGCUCCACAUGACACUGUUUCAUCAUUUUGGUGUCCGAAGAAUAUUCCCUAGUGUAUGCAUACGAGAGUUUCUUGAUCCCUCUGUGGAUGGACAGGUAAGUGGAAUGUAUACCCAGUACUGGGAAUGCUAGAUAGUAU
rnacentral:lncRNA from 1 species